rnacentral:rRNA from 1 species
UACGUAGGGUGCGAGCGUUGUCCGGAAUUACUGGGCGUAAAGAGCUCGUAGGUGGUUUGUCGCGUUGUUCGUGAAAACUCACAGCUCAACUGUGGGCGUGCGGGCGAUACGGGCAGACUGGAGUACUGCAGGGGAGACUGGAAUUCCUGGUGUAGCGGUGGAAUGCGCAGAUAUCAGGAGGAACACCGGUGGCGAAGGCGGGUCUCUGGGCAGUAACUGACACUGAGGGACGAAAGCUAGGGGAGCGAAUGGG